AAGUAAACUUGAUUAAUUGAUUGAACAGAAAUGAUUAAAAGAAGUGACUUUCCUUUUAAAUGAUGAAACAUUGCUGGUGGGAGAUACCAUCUGACUGCUGCCUCCUAAUUAAAUAAAAAUGUAUGAUAAACUAUUUAACUUUGAAAUAUUGAAGGAAAGUUACAAAAUAUUACUCAAAUAAAUUAAUUUUCUUGUUCCUGAAAAAAAUCAAACCUUGUAUGCUUCCAAAACAAAAUGGAUUUCUCCUUUUGUUGUACCCCUCCUCCUCUAUCAACGUGGUACAGUCCGUCAAGACCAGGUGCAAGCAAUUAGUGCUAAUAGAACUUCUUUUGCUUGGAGGAAGAGGUAAGACUCAUACAGACUCUCUUACGAUAUGUAACAUUGUAAUUCUGAAGAAUGUUGUAGGUUACUUGAUGUUUGGAUACACCAAAGCAUCUGAUUUGCUGCAGUUUAGCUAGUUCUUACCAACCAUCUUAGUCAGCGUACCAGAGUUUAAAGGGAAGGUGACUCACUCCAGAAUUAGACAAAACUGUAUUUGGUCAUUUUCUGUGUAUCAGUGAGUGAUAUUCUUUCACAGGCACAAAUUAUCUAGGUAAUAAUCAUUAGUAUUAAGAUAAUGUUUUAAUAUUUGAAGGUAUUGAGAACUUGUCAAUAGAAAGUCAAUUAUGUAAUACUGUGUACUUCAAUACAGCAUUUUCUCAUACAAUAGCAUCAAAUCAUAUUGUGUACAGCAGAGGUGUCAAACUCAAGUUCUUGAGGGCUUGUGUCCAGCAACUUUUAGAUGUGUCUGUGAUGCCACACGGCUGGAUCAAAUGGGGUGGUUAUCAGCAGGUCAUCAACUUGACUGCACUUAGAAGCUAAUUCAGUCAUAUAAUUCAGGUAUUUUGGACCAGAGGAACAUCUAAAAGUUGCAGUACACUGGCCCUCGAUGCCUGGAGUUUGACACCCCUGGUGUACAGUGUCAUGUUGUUACUCAACAGCACGUUACUCUGAUCUUUGCAGGAGAUGUCAGCAACAAGGUCUCAGAGAGCAAAAAGAAAUCCCAAACAUGAUGCCAGUUAUUAUUGCUCCUUAGGUGAAGAUAAAGAGGGAUUUGAUGAAAAUACAUUAAUUCAUUUAAAGGUCGGGGUGUGUUCAGUUGCCGGUGCUUUCAAAAAGGAGAUUCUUAUUGAGUACAGAGGGGAAGUCAUAAGUAGAAAGGAACAAGAAAACCGAUUGAAAAUUUACCAUGAUGCACUCGAGGCUUUUAUGUUUGAUUUCAAGUUCAAUGGACAACAGCUUUGUGUUGAUGCUGCCAGAGAGGAUGGAUCAUUGGGGAGGCUGGUAAAUGAUGAAGAGAUGAACCCAAACAGCAAAUUGAAAGUUACAAGGGUGGAUGGAAGACCUCAUCUUUGUUUAUUUGCACUCAAAGAUAUUGGUCCUGGGGAAGAAAUCACUUAUAUUUAUGGUGAU